GCAUAUCAAUAAGCGGAGGAAAAGAAACCAACAGGGAUUGCCUCAGUAACGGCGAGUGAAGCGGCAACAGCUCAAAUUUGAAAUCUGGCCGCAAGGUCCGAGUUGUAAUUUGUAGAGGAUGCUUUUGGCGAGGUGCCUUCCGAGUUCCCUGGAACGGGACGCCAUAGAGGGUGAGAGCCCCGUACGGUAGGACCACCAAGCCUCUGUAAAGCUCCUUCGACGAGUCGAGUAGUUUGGGAAUGCUGCUCUAAAUGGGAGGUGUACGUCUUCUAAAGCUAAAUACCGGCCAGAGACCGAUAGCGCACAAGUAGAGUGAUCGAAAGAUGAAAAGCACUUUGAAAAGAGGGUUAAAAAGUACGUGAAAUUGUUGAAAGGGAAGCAUUCAUGACCAGACUUGGGCUUGGUUGAACAUCCGGCGUUCUCGCCGGUGCACUCUGCCAGUCCAGGCCAGCAUCAGUUUGCCCCGGGGGAUAAAGGCGGCGGGAAUGUGGCUCCCUUCGGGGAGUGUUAUAGCCCGUCGUGUAAUGCCCUGGGGCGGACUGAGGAACGCGCUUCGGCACGGAUGCUGGCGUAAUGGUCAUCAAUGACCCGUCUUGAAACACGGACCAAGGAGUCGUCUUCGUAUGCGAGUGUUCGGGUGUCAAACCCCUACGCGUAAUGAAAGUGAACGUAGGUGAGAGCUUCGGCGCAUCACCGACCGAUCCUGAUGUUCUCGGAUGGAUUUGAGUAAGAGCAUACGGGGCCGGACCCGAAAGAAGGUGAACUAUGCCUGUAUAGGGUGAAGCCAGAGGAAACUCUGGUGGAGGCUCGCAGCGGUUCUGACGUGCAAAUCGAUCGUCAAAUAUGGCAUGGGGGCGAAAGACUAAUCGAACCUUCUAGUAGCUGGUUUCCGCCGAAGUU
rnacentral:rRNA from 1 species